GGAGGCGUAGGCGGCUGAUUAAGUCAGACGGUGAAAGGUAGCAGCUUAACUGUUUUACAUGCCGUUGAGUACUGGUUAGCUUGAGUUGACAGAAGGCAGAUAGAAUUCCUGGUGUAGCGGUGAAAUGCUUAGAUACCAGGAGGAAUACCGAUUGCGAAGGCAGUCUGCUGCAGUCACACUGACGCUGAGGCUCGAAGGUGCGGGGAUCAAACAGGAUUAGAUACCCGUGU
rnacentral:rRNA from 1 species